UACGUAGGGUCCGAGCGUUGUCCGGAAUUACUGGGCGUAAAGAGCUCGUAGGUGGUUUGUCGCGUUGUUCGUGAAAACUCACAGCUUAACUGUGGGCGUGCGGGCGAUACGGGCAGACUUGAGUACUGCAGGGGAGACUGGAAUUCCUGGUGUAGCGGUGGAAUGCGCAGAUAUCGGGAGGAACACCGGUGGCGAAGGCGGUUCUCUGGGCCUUACCUGACCGCUGAGGAGCGAAAGCGUGGGGAGCGA
rnacentral:rRNA from 1 species